rnacentral:rRNA from 1 species
GAUGAACGCUGGCGGCGUGCCUAAUACAUGCAAGUCGAGCGAACAGACGAGGAGCUUGCUCCUCUGACGUUAGCGGCGGACGGGUGAGUAACACGUGGAUAACCUACCUAUAAGACUGGGAUAACUUCGGGAAACCGGAGCUAAUACCGGAUAAUAUAUUGAACCGCAUGGUUCAAUAGUGAAAGACGGUUUUGCUGUCACUUAUAGAUGGACCCGCGCCGCAUUAGCUAGUUGGUAAGGUAACGGCUUACCAAGGCGACGAUGCGUAGCCGACCUGAGAGGGUGAUCGGCCAUACUGGAACUGAGACACGGUCCAGACUCCUACGGGAGGCAGCAGUAGGGAAUCUUCCGCAAUGGGCGAAAGCCUGACGGAGCAACGCCGCGUGAGUGAUGAAGGUCUUCGGAUCGUAAAACUCUGUUAUUAGGGAAGAACAAAUGUGUAAGUAACUAUGCACGUCUUGACGGUACCUAAUCAGAAAGCCACGGCUAACUACGUG